CCUACGGGAGGCAGCAGUGGGGAAUAUUGCACAAUGGGGGAAACCCUGAUGCAGCGACGCCGCGUGAGUGAAGAAGUAAUUCGUUACGUAAAGCUCUAUCAGCAGGGAAGAAACACUGACCUUACGGUCAGCAGACGGUACCUGAGUAAGAAGCACCGGCUAAAUACGUGCCAGCAGCCGCGGUAAUACGUAUGGUGCAAGCGUUAUCCGGAUUUACUGGGUGUAAAGGGAGCGCAGGCGGCACGGCAAGCCUGAUGUGAAAGCCCGCGGCCCAACCGGGGGACUGCAUUGGGAACUACCGGGCUGGAGUGCCGGAGAGGUAGGCGGAAUUCCUAGUGUAGCGGUGAAAUGCGUAGAUAUUAGGAGGAACACCAGUGGCGAAGGCGGCCUACUGGACGGUGACUGACGCUGAGGCUCGAAAGCGUGGGGAGCAAACAGGAUUAGAUACCCCUGUAGUC
rnacentral:rRNA from 1 species